AUCCUUCUGGUUCAGAAGUGUGAUGAAUGGGCGGUCACACGGCUGUGUGAGGUGUGCGACCUCUCGUUACGACGUAGCACAUGACCCUUCUGAUU